AACGAACGCUGGCGGCAGGCCUAACACAUGCAAGUCGAACGGACCCUUCGGGGUUAGUGGCGGACGGGUGAGUAACACGUGGGAACGUGCCUUUAGGUUCGGAAUAGCUCCUGGAAACGGGCGGUAAUGCCGAAUGUGCCCUUCGGGGGAAAGGAUUUAUCGCCUUUAGAGCGGCCCGCGUCUGAUUAGCUUGUUGGUGA
rnacentral:rRNA from 1 species